CCUAAAAUUGCAUGCAAACUUCUGUGCGGAUUUGUCUUUUGUUUUCUGAGGAGAGAUAAAAAUUCCAUUGGAUUCUCAAAGGGACCCAUGCUCUCAAAUGUUAAAAACAAACGCUUAAUUUAUUUCUGGGAGUCAAUUUGGCAAUUUGUGCCCCUCAAAAAGGUCACAGGGUUUCUGAAAUCUCACCUUGUCAAUGGAGUGACUGUGAGCUGAACUAUUAAUUGCAAUAGAUGAUGGAAGGAAGGUUCUACUUGAGGACAUCCUCAGUGGCAUCUGGUGAUUUUGUAACCUGAAGUCAAUUUAUCAGAUCAAGUUGACUU